UGCCGGGGUGAGAGUGGCGAACGGGUGAGUAAUGCGUGACCGACCUGCCCCAUGCACCGGAAUAGCUCCUGGAAACGGGUGGUAAUGCCGGAUGUUCCACAUGAGCGCAUGCGAGUGUGGGAAAGGCUUUUGCGGCAUGGGAUGGGGUCGCGUCCUAUCAGCUUGUUGGUGGGGUAACGGCCUACCAAGGCGUUGACGGGUAGCCGGCCUGAGAGGGCGACCGGCCACAUUGGGACUGAGAUACGGCCCAGACUCCUACGGGAGGCAGCAGUGGGGAAUAUUGCACAAUGGGCGCAAGCCUGAUGCAGCGACGCCGCGUGCGGGAUGGAGGCCUUCGGGUUGUAAACCGCUUUUGUUCAAGGGCAAGGCACGGUUUCGGCCGUGUUGAGUGGAUUGUUCGAAUAAGCACCGGCUAACUACGUGCCAGCAGCCGCGGUAAUACGUAGGGUGCAAGCGUUAUCCGGAUUUAUUGGGCGUAAAGGGCUCGUAGGCGGUUCGUCGCGUCCGGUGUGAAAGUCCAUCGCUUAACGGUGGAUCCGCGCCGGGUACGGGCGGGCUUGAGUGCGGUAGGGGAGACUGGAAUUCCCGGUGUAACGG
rnacentral:rRNA from 1 species